CUGUCCUUAGUACGAGAGGACCGGGAUGGACAUACCGCUGGUGUACCAGUUGUUCUGCCAAGGGCAUCGCUGGGUAGCUAUGUAUGGAUGAGAUAAACGCUGAAAGCAUCUAAGUGCGAAACUCACCUCGAGAUAAGAUUUCCCAUUCCUUUAUGGAAGUAAGACCCCUGAGAGAUGAUCAGGUAGAUAGGAUGGAAGUGGAAGUACGGUGACGUAUGGAGCGGACCAUUACUAAUCGGUCGAGGACUUAACCAAG
rnacentral:rRNA from 1 species